UNUGACUUGAGUGCAGAAGGGGAGAGUGGAAUUCCAUGUGUAGCGGUGAAAUGCGUAGAUAUAUGGAGGAACACCAGUGGCGAAAGCGGCUNUCUGGUCUGUCACUGACGCUGAGGCUNGAAAGCGUGGGUAGCGAACAGGAUUAGAUACCCUGGUAGUCCACGCCGUAAACGAUGAGUGCUAGGUGUUAGGCCCUUUCCGGGGCUUAGUGCCGGAGCUAACGCAAUAAGCACUCCGCCUGGGGAGUACGACCGCAAGGUUGAAACUCAAAGGAAUUGACGGGGGCCCGCACAAGCGGUGGAGCAUGUGGUUUAAUUCGAAGCAACGCGAAGAACCUUACCAGGUCUUGACAUCCCGAUGCUAUUCUUAGAGAUAGGAAGUUACUUCGGUACAUCGGAGACAGGUGGUGCAUGGUUGUCGUCAGCUCGUGUCGUGAGAUGUUGGGUUAAGUCCCGCAACGAGCGCAACCCUUAUUGUUAGUUGCCAUCAUUAAGUUGGGCACUCUAGCGAGACUGCCGGUAAUAAACCGGAGGAAGGUGGGGAUGACGUCAAAUCAUCAUGCCCCUUAUGACCUGGGCUACACACGUGCUACAAUGGUCGGUACAACGAGUUGCGAGCCGGUGACGGCAAGCUAAUCUCUGAAAGCCGAUCUCAGUUCGGAUUGGAGGCUGCAACUCGCCUCCAUGAAGUCGGAAUCGCUAGUAAUCGCGGAUCAGCACGCCGCGGUGAAUACGUUCCCGGGCCUUGUACACACCGCCCGUCACACCACGAGAGUUUGUAACACCCGAAGUCGGUGAGGUAACCUUUUAGGG
rnacentral:rRNA from 1 species